UGUCCAGAACAUUAUCCCACUAUUUUAUGUUGGCCUCGGUUGGGUUGAUCCUCCUGAGAGAGAGAGAGAGAGAGAGAGAGAGAGGAUUACAAGGGUAGACUGUGAGAAAGUCCCAUGAAAAGCAACCAAAUUUUGGGGUCUCCUUUUUUCCCCAUCUUUGAUUAGAUUUUUGUUCACCUUUCGUUUUGCUUCGUUCUUUCUCAAUUCCACUCAAUAAAAAGUGGGUUUUUGCAAUUUCAGCUACUGGUAACAUCUUAAACUGUUCUCAAUUUUAUUGCUGGAAGUUUGAAUUUUGAAAUUGUGAUUGUUGUUCUUGUUCUUGUUUUGUUAUUGCUGUUGUUGUGUUUGGUUUCAGUUGAAUCCAUAUUUUCUCAGCAGUGCAUGUGUGAGAAUGUCUAGUUGAACCUCACCAAGAAAAGAAUGUCUAGUUGAAUGUUUGGUUGCCGAAUAUUUCCGGGCUGUGUGUGAUCUGAAUGUAUUCCAUUCCUUUUACCAUCUCCUUUUAUCCGGACAACAAGAAAGUUCUUGGUUUAUACUUCCCUUGUUUCGAUUCACUUAUCUUCAAAGAUAUUUGCAGUCAGCCUUUAACUUGUCAUAAUCUCUUUAUCCCUUAGCUAGGAUUUCAUUCGAAAUUAUCAGUACUAGCAGUAACCUCUCACUCAAAACUCAGACCGGUUGUUUGUAUUUCAAGCUUAUUGUAGUCUGCUUCUGCGAUAUAAAUUUUCAAAAAGGUUUUGCUUGUCAUAGAAAAUACGUAAUCUUUAAUGGGUUGUUUCAUCUAUGUGGGCGAGGGGAUAGAUAUAGAGAGGCUUUGAUGAACUAGAGUUCCAGUCUAGAAACAAAUGGUGUCCAAAUCGUAUUCCAAUCUUUUGGAGCUUACCUCAGGCGAGGCUCCUUCGUUUGGCCGAAUUGGCAGGCGAAUUCCACGUAUUAUGACUGUUGCCAGUUUGAUAUCCGAUGUUGAUGAUGAUCCGUCCGAGAGUGCGUGCUCCGAAGACAUGUCUUCAUCUUCAGUCCAACGUGACCGAAUCAUAAUAGUGGCUAACCAGCUCCCCAUAAGGGCGCAGAGAAAAUCAGAUACCAGUAAGGGUUGGAUUUUCAAUUGGGAUGAGAAUUCACUACUUCUCCAAUUGAAAGAUGGUUUGGGGGAUGAUGAGAUUGAAGUCAUUUAUGUUGGUUGUCUUAAGGAAGAAAUUCACCCAAAUGAACAAGACGAGGUUUCCCAAAUUCUUCUCGAGACCUUUAAAUGUGUCCCAACCUUUCUCCCACCAGAUCUUUUCAGCCGGUAUUAUCAUGGGUUCUGUAAGCAGCAGUUGUGGCCACUGUUUCAUUACAUGCUACCCCUUUCGCCGGACCUCGGUGGUAGAUUUAACCGGUCCUUAUGGCAAGCAUAUGUGUCAGUGAACAAGAUUUUUGCAGAUAGGAUCAUGGAAGUGAUUAACCCAGAAGAUGAUUUUGUGUGGAUACAUGAUUAUCAUCUGAUGGUGUUGCCAACUUUCUUGAGGAAGAGAUUCAAUCGCGUGAAACUUGGGUUUUUCCUCCAUAGUCCGUUCCCUUCGUCUGAAAUUUAUAAGACAUUGCCUGUCAGGGAAGAGAUUCUGAGAGCCAUUUUGAAUUCUGAUUUAAUUGGAUUCCAUACAUUUGACUAUGCAAGGCAUUUCCUCUCAUGCUGUAGUCGAAUGCUUGGUCUUACCUAUGAAUCCAAGCGGGGUUACAUAGGCCUCGAGUAUUACGGUCGGACUGUUAGCAUCAAGAUUCUUCCUGUUGGUAUACACAUGGGUCAGCUGCAGUCGGUUUUGAGCCUCCCAGAGACUGAAGCCAAGGUUGUUGAGCUUAUGAAACAGUUCUGUGACCGAGGAAGGAUAAUGUUACUCGGGGUAGAUGACAUGGACAUUUUUAAGGGUAUAAGUUUGAAGCUUUUGGCAAUGGAGCAGCUGCUUGUUCAGCAUCCAGAGUGGCAAGGGAAGGUUGUAUUGGUGCAGAUAGCCAAUCCAGCCAGGGGUCGGGGAAAAGACGUGAAAGAAGUUCAGGCUGAGACAUCCUCAACUGUGAAGCGAAUUAAUGAAACAUUUGGGAACCCUGGGUAUAAGCCUGUCGUGUUGAUUGAUGAGCCACUCAAGUUCUAUGAGAGAAUUGCAUAUUAUGUUGUUGCCGAGUGUUGUUUGGUGACAGCUGUCAGGGAUGGGAUGAAUCUAAUACCAUAUGAAUACAUAAUCAGUCGGCAACGGAAUGCGAAAUUGGAUAAGGUUUUGGAGUUGGAACCCUCCAACCCGAAGAAGAGCAUGUUAGUUGUCUCCGAGUUCAUUGGCUGCUCCCCUUCUUUGAGUGGAGCAAUUCGUGUGAACCCCUGGAAUAUUGAUGCUGUGGCAGAUGCAAUGGACUGUGCCCUAGAGAUGGCGGAGCCAGAAAAACAGCUCCGACAUGAGAAGCAUUAUAGAUAUGUCAGUACCCAUGAUGUUGGGUAUUGGGCUCGUAGUUUCCUCCAAGAUCUGGAAAGAACAUGUAGGGGCCAUUUGCGUCAGAGGUGCUGGGGUAUUGGGUUCGGUUUGAGUUUCAGAGUUGUGGCCCUUGAUUCGAACUUCAGGAAGCUCUCUAUGGAGCAUAUAGUUUCAGCUUACAAAAGGACCACAACUAGGGCAAUCCUGCUUGACUAUGAUGGUACAUUGAUGCCUCAGGCUUCCAUUGAUAAGAGCCCAACUUCUAAAUCCAUCGAUAUCCUCAAUAACUUGUGCAGAGACAAGAACAACAUGGUUUUCAUUGUUAGUGCAAAAAGCCGUAAAGUACUUGCUGAAUGGCUCUCUCCUUGUGAGAAGCUUGGAAUUGCUGCUGAACACGGCUACUUUCUACGAUUGAAGCGAGAUGCAGAAUGGGAAACGUGUGCACCAGUUGCAGAUAGCAGUUGGAAGCAGAUUGCAGAGCCAGUAAUGAAGCUUUACACUGAAACAACUGAUGGUUCCACCAUUGAAGAUAAGGAAACUGCACUUGUGUGGUCUUAUGAGGAUGCUGAUCCAGAUUUUGGAUCAUGCCAAGCUAAGGAACUUCUUGAUCAUCUUGAAAGUGUGCUUGCUAAUGAACCAGUUAAUGUUAAAAGCGGGCAGAAUGUAGUGGAGGUUAAGCCGCAGGGUGUAAACAAAGGACUUGUAGCCAAACGUCUACUUUCCACCAUGCAAGAAAGGGGAAUGUCACCGGAUUUUGUUCUCUGCAUAGGUGAUGACAGAUCUGAUGAAGACAUGUUUGAGGUAAUCACAAGUUCCAUAGCAGGCCCAUCCAUCGCACCCAGAGCUGAAGUAUUUGCAUGUACGGUUGGACGAAAACCCAGCAAAGCCAAGUAUUAUCUGGAUGAUACAGGGGAAAUUGUUAGGUUGUUGCAGGGGUUGGCAUCUGUGUCAGAGCAGACGGUACCUCUGUAGGCUUACCAAAGAUAAAGAAUGGGGCACCACCUUGUUUUCUCUGUUUGUAACUGCCAUGAUGUAGUUCAUUCAUAACUGUUGCCUAGGCUACCUUCUCUUGGAAGACCCAUCUUCUAGGGUAAACCCCCCUUACGAAGAGAUUGUUGUCUGGAUUGCUUCAACACGGAUUGAUGAUAUUACAUAUUUUUUGUUUUACCUUUUAACCUUGGCAGAAAUGUCGUUUGAACUUUGAAUCCUUUUGGUGGGUUGUGUUCAUGAGUGUAGAACUCAAUACUUUUAGUUUGAAUCUAGAAUUGUAGAGCGCAGUUAACUGGAGGAAUUAUGCUCUUGUCACGACCAAGAUGCUGCUGAAAUUUGAAGUUGGUGAAUGGUAGCAGCACGUAGCAAAGCAAGUGAAACCAGGACCUGUAGGCUUUUUCUGUGUUUUGGGCAAUAAUGUAAUUAUGCGGAUCCCAUCAGUAUAGCAAUUUUACGAAGCGGCAAUGUCUUGUGCGGUGCUUUCCUUGAUAACUCGGCAGGCACAAUUCUUAUACCCUAA